rnacentral:rRNA from 1 species
GAUGAACGCUGGCGGCGUGCCUAAUACAUGCAAGUCGAGCGAACAGAUGAGGAGCUUGCUCCUCUGACGUUAGCGGCGGACGGGUGAGUAACACGUGGAUAACCUACCUAUAAGACUGGGAUAACUUCGGGAAACCGGAGCUAAUACCGGAUAAUAUAUUGAACCGCAUGGUUCAAUAGUGAAAGACGGUUUUGCUGUCACUUAUAUAUGGAUCCGCGCCGCAUUAGCUAGUUGGUAAGGUAACGGCUUACCAAGGCAACGAUGCGUAGCCGACCUGAGAGGGUGAUAGGCCACACUGGAACUGAGACACGGUCCAGACUCCUACGGGAGGCAGCAGUAGGGAAUCUUCCGCAAUGGGCGAAAGCUUGACGGAGCAACGCCGCGUGAGUGAUGAAGGUCUUCGGAUCGUAAAACUCUGUUAUUAGGGAAGAACAAAUGUGUAAGUAACUAUGCACGUCUUGACGGUACCUAAUCAGAAAGCCACGGCUAACUACGUG